rnacentral:sRNA from 1 species
AUGUGACACAAUCACCGGUACCGGUAAUGCAAUCACCAAAACACCAGAAAGGGAACAUAUCCCACCAAAUAUUUUUCCAAUGAUCGUUGUGGGAACGAUAUCACCAUACCUGAC